GAUGAACGCUGGCGGCGUGCCUAAUACAUGCAAGUCGAGCGAACAGACGAGGAGCUUGCUCCUCUGACGUUAGCGGCGGACGGGUGAGUAACACGUAGAUAAUCUACCUAUAAGACUGGGAUAACUUCGGGAAACCGGAGCUAAUACCGGAUAAUAUAUUGAACCGCAUGGUUCAAUAGUGAAAGACGGUUUUGCUGUCACUUAUAGAUGGAUCCGCGCCGCAUUAGCUAGUUGGUAAGGUAACGGCUUACCAAGGCAACGAUGCGUAGCCGACCUGAGAGGGUGAUCGGCCACACUGGAACUGAGACACGGUCCAGACUCCUACGGGAGGCAGCAGUAGGGAAUCUUCCGCAAUGGGCGAAAGCCUGACGGAGCAACGCCGCGUGAGUGAUGAAGGUCUUCGGAUCGUAAAACUCUGUUAUUAGGGAAGAACAAAUGUGUAAGUAACUAUGCACGUCUUGACGGUACCUAAUCAGAAAGCCACGGCUAACUACGUG
rnacentral:rRNA from 1 species